CUUAUUAAGAGGUUGCUCACACCCUGUGCAGGAGUCAGUCCCAGUCAGGACACAGCAUGGCCAUGAGGGCCCCUUCUCAGCUCCUGGGGCUCCUGCUGCUCUGCCUCCCAGGCUUCAGAUGUGACAUCAUGAUGACCCAGUCUCCAUCCUCCUUGCCUGUGUCUCGUGGAGACAGAGUCACCAUCACCUGCAGGGCCAGUCAGGGUAUUAGCAAUAAUCUACACUGGUAUCAGCAGAAACCAGGCCAAGCUCCUAAGCUCCUCAUCAAAUAUGCAAACACUUUGGAAUCUGGGUUCCCCUCAAGGUUCAGUGGCAGUGGAUCUGGGACAGAUUUCACUCUCACCAUCAGGAGCCUGGAGCCUGAGGAUGUUGCUGAUUAUUACUGUCAACAAAAGGCUCACUCAGGGCUCCAGGUCUGGAAACAAACAGCACACAUGGCCCAUGAUUCUGAAGGAAGCCUGCUAUGGGAGAAAACCAAGAAGUCCUCACUGCACCUGCUCCUCCGCCUCCACCCAAGGCUUCCAUAGCACAGCUGCAGCCUCUGUGGAGACCUGUGUGAGCAGGUGAGGGCUUAAAAUAGAUGCCCUGCUCUACCUUCUUCUGCUGGUUGCUGAUGUUACAUCACCUUCAUUUGAGAACAUCCUCCUACAUACUCGUCUCAACCACCAAGUGAGAAGCAGAAACCUAUGAUUACAGUUGAAUUGUACAACCAGCACAAUAAGUAUCUUAGAUGUUUCUUUGUCUCCUGUCUGAAGGACCCUGAGUUAAUAAAAAAUAGAAUAUA